CGGGCUGAUGGUCGGUGGCGACGCCGCGCUCGUCGAACGCGUCCUGCCGGUGUUCGACGCGCUGCGGCCCGA
rnacentral:tRNA from 1 species